rnacentral:rRNA from 1 species
UACGGAGGGUGCAAGCGUUAUCCGGAAUCACUGGGUUUAAAGGGCGCGUAGGCUGCUGCUUAAGUCAGGGGUGAAAGUUUGUCGCUUAACGAUAGAAUUGCCUUUGAUACUGUGCGGCUUGAAAGUAGGUGAGGUUGGCGGAAUGUGACGUGUAGCGGUGAAAUGCGUAGAUAUGUCAUAGAACACCGAUUGCGAAGGCAGCUGGCUAACCUAAAUUUGACGCUGAGGCACGAAAGCGUGGGUAGCAAACAGG